CCUACGGGAGGCAGCAGUGGGGAAUAUUGCACAAUGGGGGAAACCCUGAUGCAGCAACGCCGCGUGAGUGAAGAAGUAUUUCGGUAUGUAAAGCUCUAUCAGCAGGGAAGAAGAAAGACGGUACCUGACUAAGAAGCCCCGGCUAACUACGUGCCAGCAGCCGCGGUAAUACGUAGGGGGCAAGCGUUAUCCGGAUUUACUGGGUGUAAGGGGAGCGUAGACGGCAGCACAAGUCUGGGGUGAAAUCCCGGGGCUUAACCCCGGAACUGCUUUGGAAACUGGGCGGCUGGAGUGCAGGAGGGGUAAGCGGAAUUCCUAGUGUAGCGGUGAAAUGCGUAGAUAUUAGGAGGAACACCGGUGGCGAAGGCGGCUUACUGGACUGUAACUGACGUUGAGGCUCGAAAGCGUGGGGAGCAAACAGGAUUAGAUACCCGAGUAGUC
rnacentral:rRNA from 1 species